rnacentral:rRNA from 1 species
GCAAGUCGAACGAUGAAGCUUUUAGCUUGCUAGAAGUGGAUUAGUGGCGCACGGGUGAGUAAGGUAUAGUUAAUCUGCCCUACACAAGAGGACAACAGUUGGAAACGACUGCUAAUACUCUAUACUCCUGCUUAACACAAGUUGAGUAGGGAAAGUUUUUCGGUGUAGGAUGAGACUAUAUAGUAUCAGCUAGUUGGUAAGGUAAUGGCUUACCAAGGCUAUGACGCUUAACUGGUCUGAGAGGAUGAUCAGUCACACUGGAACUGAGACACGGUCCAGACUCCUACGGGAGGCAGCAGUAGGGAAUAUUGCGCAAUGGGGGAAACCCUGACGCAGCAACGCCGCGUGGAGGAUGACACUUUUCGGAGCGUAAACUCCUUUUCUUAGGGAAGAAUUCUGACGGUACCUAAGGAAUAAGCACCGGCUAACUNNNGCCGUGCCAGCAGCCGCGGUAAUACGGAGGGUGCAAGCGUUACUCGGAAUCACUGGGCGUAAAGGGCGCGUAGGCGGAUUAUCAAGUCUCUUGUGAAAUCUAAUGGCUUAACCAUUAAACUGCUUGGGAAACUGAUAGUCUAGAGUGAGGGAGAGGCAGAUGGAAUUGGUGGUGUAGGGGUAAAAUCCGUAGAUAUCACCAAGAAUACCCAUUGCGAAGGCGAUCUGCUGGAACUCAACUGACGCUAAGGCGCGAAAGCGUGGGGAGCAAACAGGAUUAGAUACCCUGGUAGUCCACGCCCUAAACGAUGUACACUAGUUGUUGGGGUGCUAGUCAUCUCAGUAAUGCAGCUAACGCAUUAAGUGUACCGCCUGGGGAGUACGGUCGCAAGAUUAAAACUCAAAGGAAUAGACGGGGACCCGCACAAGCGGUGGAGCAUGUGGUUUAAUUCGAAGAUACGCGAAGAACCUUACCUGGGCUUGAUAUCCUAAGAACCUUUUAGAGAUAAGAGGGUGCUAGCUUGCUAGAACUUAGAGACAGGUGCUGCACGGCUGUCGUCAGCUCGUGUCGUGAGAUGUUGGGUUAAGUCCCGCAACGAGCGCAACCCACGUAUUUAGUUGCUAACGGUUCGGCCGAGCACUCUAAAUAGACUGCCUUCGUAAGGAGGAGGAAGGUGUGGACGACGUCAAGUCAUCAUGGCCCUUAUGCCCAGGGCGACACACGUGCUACAAUGGCAUAUACAAUGAGACGCAAUACCGCGAGGUGGAGCAAAUCUAUAAAAUAUGUCCCAGUUCGGAUUGUUCUCUGCAACUCGAGAGCAUGAAGCCGGAAUCGCUAGUAAUCGUAGAUCAGCCAUGCUACGGUGAAUACGUUCCCGGGUCUUGUACUCACCGCCCGUCACACCAUGGGAGUUGAUUUCACUCGAAGCCGGAAUACUAAACU